rnacentral:piRNA from 1 species
UACUUAUGGUGCCAGACACUUGUGGUCCAAU